AUUGAACGCUGGCGGCAUGCUUUACACAUGCAAGUCGAGCGGCAGCGCGGGGGCAACCCUGGCGGCGAGCGGCGAACGGGUGAGGAAUACAUCGGAACGUGCCCCGGAGUGGGGGAUAACGCCGCGAAAGCGGCGCUAAUACCGCAUAUGCUCUGAGGAGGAAAGCGGGGGACCUGUGAGGGCCUCGCGCUCUGGGAGCGGCCGAUGUCCGAUUAGCUAGUUGGUGGGGUAAAGGCCCACCAAGGCGACGAUCGGUAGCUGGUCUGAGAGGAUGAUCAGCCACACUGGGACUGAGACACGGCCCAGACUCCUACGGGAGGCAGCAGUGGGGAAUUUUGGACAAUGGGGGCAACCCUGAUUCAGCCAUGCCGCGUGCGGGAAGAAGGCCUUCGGGUUGUAAACCGCUUUUAGCCGGGAAGAAAAGGCGAGGGAUAACACCCUUCGUUCUUGACGGUACCGGCGGAAUAAGCACCGGCUAACUACGUGCCAGCCGCCGCCGUAAUAC
rnacentral:rRNA from 1 species